rnacentral:rRNA from 1 species
UACGGAGGGAGCUAGCGUUGUUCGGAAUUACUGGGCGUAAAGCGCACGUAGGCGGCCUAUCAAGUCAGGGGUGAAAUCCCGGGGCUCAACCCCGGAACUGCCCUUGAAACUGGUAAGCUAGAAUCCUGGAGAGGCGAGUGGAAUUCCGAGUGUAGAGGUGAAAUUCGUAGAUAUUCGGAAGAACACCAGUGGCGAAGGCGACUCGCUGGACAGGUAUUGACGCUGAGGUGCGAAAGCGUGGGGAGCAAACAGG